rnacentral:rRNA from 1 species
AGACUCUGUGCGCGUGCAUAUCAAUAAGCGGAGGAAAAGAAACUAACAAGGAUUCCCUUAGUAACGGCGAGUGAAGCGGGAAGAGCUCAAAUUUGAAAUCUUCAAGGUUCUACCUUGACGAAUUGUAGUUUAUAGAAGUGUUUUCUGUUAGUGGAGUGGCAAAAGUUCUUUGGAAUAGGACAUCAUAGAGGGUGAGAAUCCCGUAUUUGGUCAUUCCUCCUAGCGUUGUGAUACACUUUCAACGAGUCGGAUUGUUUGGGAAUGCAGUCCAAAAUGGGUGGUAAAUUUCAUCUAAAGCUAAAUAUUGGCGAGAGACCGAUAGCGAACAAGUACCGUGAGGGAAAGAUGAAAAGAACUUUGAAAAGAGAGUUAAACAGUACGUGAAAUUGUCAAAAGGGAAGCGUUUGACACCAGUGUUGUUUUUCCGAAAAUCAAUUACGAAUGUUUUGUUUUUGAGGAGUUAUGACUUCAUCGGCUUGCUCCUUUCUUUAUGAAACUUUCUGAAUGCACUUUUCAGUUAACAAGUCAACAUCAAUUUCUUUUGUUGUAAAAGGGUAAGAGGAAGGUGGCUUACGCUUCGGCGUAAGUGUUUAUAGCCUUUUACCUCUGCAAUCGGAGAGAUUGAGGACAGCAGCGUAGACUCUUCGGGGUUAGAUACACUUGUGCUAAGCUAUAGCCUUGUAUAGACAACUUGUUGACUAUGCUCAGUCAUGUAGCUUACUCGCUUGUGCUAUUUUACCUACGCUUAGGAUGUUGA